rfam:Porphyromonas sp. COT-290_OH860 contig_7, whole genome shotgun sequence.
GCGCAAAAUAGAUAAGGGCAGACGGUGGAUGCCUAGGCUCUCGGAGGCGAAGAAGGACGUGAUAAGCUGCGAUAAGCUGUGGGGAUCGGCACAUACGAUUAGAUCCGCAGAUUUCCGAAUGGGGCAACCCAGUACAUUGAAGAUGUACUACACCGCAGAGCGGUGAGCGAACGUGGGGAACUGAAACAUCUAAGUACCCAUAGGAGAAGAAAACAAAAGUGAUUCCCUUAGUAGUGGCGAGCGAACGGGGAUUAGCCCAAACCAAUAAUGUUUCGGCAUUACUGGGGUUGUAGGACCACGCUGUAUGAUAUAUUCGAUUAGAAGAACUACUUGGAAAGGUAGGCCGUAGAGCAUGAAAGCUGCGUAUUCGACAAUUGAAUUUAUUGUUAGUGGUAUCCUGAGUAGCGCGGGACACGAGUAAUCCUGUGUGAAUCUGGCGGGCCCAUCCGCUAAGGCUAAAUACUCCCGAGAGACCGAUAGUGAACCAGUACCGUGAGGGAAAGGUGAAAAGAACCUCGAACAGAGGAGUGCAAUAGACCCUGAACCCGUCUGCCUACAAGCGGUAGGAGCAUCAAUGUAUGGUGUGACUGCGUGCCUUUUGCAUAAUGAACCUACGAGUUACUUUCACUGGCGAGGUUAAGUGAUAUUAGUCACGUAUCCGAAGCGAAAGCGAGUCUUAAAUGGCGCAUAGUCAGUGGGAGUAGACGCGAAACCAAGUGAUCUACCCUUGGUCAGGUUGAAGGUUGGGUAAAACCAACUGGAGGACCGAACCGGUAAGCGUUGAAAAGCUUUCGGAUGAACUGAGGGUAGGGGUGAAAGGCUAAUCAAACUUGGAGAUAGCUCGUACUCCCCGAAAUGCAUUUAGGUGCAGCCUUUGUUGUUUCUUAUACGAGGUAGAGCGACUGAUUGGAUGCGAGGCUUUCACCGGCUAUCAAGUCCAGACAAACUCCGAAUGCGUAUAAGUUAAGACAAGGAGUGAGGGCAUGGGUGCUAAGGUCCAUGUCCGAGAGGAGAAGAAUCCAGACCAUCGGCUAAGGUCCCGAAAUAAUAGCUAAGUUGAAUAAACGAAGUCAAGGUGCUAAGACAGCUAGGAUGUUGGCUUGGAAGCAGCCAUUCAUUUAAAGAGUGCGUAACAGCUCACUAGUCGAGUGCUUUGGCGUGGAUAAUAAUCGGGCAUAAGCUAUUUACCGAAGCUGUGGGAUAUUAAUAAUAUCGGUAGGGGAGCAUUCUAGCGGCGCAGAAGAUCUGAGGACAACUCAGGUUGGAGCUUCUAGAAAAGCAAAUGUAGGUAUAAGUAACGAUAAAGGAGGUGAGAAACCUCCUCGCCGAAAGACCAAGGUUUCCUGAUCAACGCUAAUCGGAUCAGGGUUAGUCGGGCCCUAAGGGAUAGCCGAACGGCGUACCCGAUGGAUGAACCGGUUAAUAUUCCGGUACUAAUUAUAUGAGCGAUGUGGUGACGGAGAAGUGACAGUCCUGCCAGCUGACGGAAUAGCUGGUUGAAGGGUGUAGAUGUUGAUUGGGGUAGGCAAAUCCGCCCUGAGAGUCGAACCUGAUAGUACUCGGAGUGCAUGCACGAAGAGAUAUGGACGUAAUCAGGCUCCCUAGAAAACCCGCUAAGCAUAUUGUAUAAUUACCCGUACUCUAAACCGACACAGGUGGUUGGGUUGAGUAUACUAAGGCGCUCGAGUGAUUCGCGGUUAAGGAACUAGGCAAAAUAGUCCUGUAACUUCGGGAAAAAGGACGCUCUCAGCAAUGGGAGCCGCAGAGAAUAGGCCCAGGCGACUGUUUAACAAAAACACAUGGCUGUGCGAAAUAGCAAUAUGCAGUAUACAGCCUGACACCUGCCCGGUGCUGGAAGGUUAAGAGGAGAUGUCAUCGCAAGAGAAGCAUUGAAUUGAAGCCCCAGUAAACGGCGGCCGUAACUAUAACGGUCCUAAGGUAGCGAAAUUCCUUGUCGGGUAAGUUCCGACCUGCACGAAUGGUGUAACGAUCUGGGCACUGUCUCAACCGCGAGCUCGGUGAAAUUGUAGUAUCGGUGAAGAUGCCGAUUACCCGCAACGGGACGAAAAGACCCCGUGAACCUUUACUAUAGCUUUGCAUUGAAUUUGGAUAACAGAUGUGUAGGAUAGGCCGGAGACUAAGAAGCGGGUACGCUAGUAUUCGUGGAGUCGCUGUUGAAAUACGGCCCUUUUGUUAUUUGGGUUCUAACUCGGAGAACUGAGGACACUGCAUGGUGGGUAGUUUGACUGGGGUGGUCGCCUCCAAAAGCGUAACGGAGGCUUCUAAAGGUACCCUCAGGCCGAUUGGUAACCGGUCGUAGAGUGUAAUGGCACAAGGGUGCUUGACUGGGAGACAAACAAGUCGCACAGGUAGGAAACUAGAGCAUAGUGAUCCGGUGGUUCCGUAUGGAAGGGCCAUCGCUCAAAGGAUAAAAGGUACUCCGGGGAUAACAGGCUGAUCGCUCCCAAGAGCUCAUAUCGACGGAGCGGUUUGGCACCUCGAUGUCGGCUCGUCACAUCCUGGGGCUGGAGAAGGUCCCAAGGGUUGGGCUGUUCGCCCAUUAAAGUGGCACGCGAGCUGGGUUCAGAACGUCGUGAGACAGUUCGGUCUCUAUCUGUUGUGGGCGUAGGAGAUUUGCGAGGACCUGUCACUAGUACGAGAGGACCGUGAUGGACUAACCACUGGUUUAUCGGUUGUUCCGCCAGGGGCACUGCCGAGUAGCUACGUUGGGUCGAGAUAAGUGCUGAAAGCAUCUAAGUACGAAGCUCACCUCAAGAUUAGAUCUCCUUAUAAGGGUGGUUAUAGACGAUGACCUUGAUAGGCUACAGGUGUAAAGAUGGUGACAUCAAAGCCGAGUAGUACUAAUAGCCCGAAAUUUUUGCGCUU